rnacentral:rRNA from 1 species
AGAAUCAACGCUGGCGGCGUGCCUAACACAUGCAAGUCGAACGAGAAAGGGACUUCGGCCCUGAGUACAGUGGCGCACGGGUGAGUAACACGUGACUAACCUACCCUGGAGUGGGGAAUAACUGAGGGAAACCUUAGCUAAUACCGCAUAAUACCUACGGGUCAAAGGAGCAAUUCGGCUUCAGGAGGGGGUCGCGGCCGAUUAGCUAGGUUGGCGGGGUAAUGGCCCACCAAGGCAAUGAUCGGUA